rnacentral:lncRNA from 1 species
ACCCGUUCGACUAAAUCCGUUUGUCUUCUUCAUGGACUCGUUCUUCUUCCUUGCGGGAUUUCAGGCAAGAUGAUCAUACCCUCGAAAUCACUUCUAUCUUUGCUUGCUAGAUGCUCGCUCUUUUGCUAUGCCUAUGUUGCGAUACCUACCACUUACUUAUCAUGCCUCCCAUAUUGUUAAGCCAAGCCUCUAACCCACUUUGUCCUAGCAAACCGUUGUUUGGCUAUGUUACCGCUUUGCUCAGUCCCUCUUAUAGCGUUGUUAGUUGCAGGUGAAGAUUGAAGUUUGUUCCUUGUUGGAACAUGGAUAUUUUGUUGGGAUAUCACAAUAUCUCUUAUUUAAAUUAAUGCAUCUAUAUACUUGGUAAAGGGUGGAAGGCUUGGCCUUAUGCCUGGUGUUUUGUUCCACUCUUGCCGCCCUAGUUUCUGUCAUAUCGGUGUUAUGUUCCCGAAUUUUGCGUUCCUUACACAGUUGGGUUAUAAUGGGAACCCCUUGAUAGUUCGCCUUGAAUAAAACUCCUCCAGCAAUGCCCAACAUUGGUUUUACCAUUUGCCACCUAGCCUCUUUUUCCCUUGGGUUCCGCGGACUCAAGGGUCAUCUUUAUUUAAACCCCCCGGGCCAGUGCUCCUCUAAGUGUUGGUCCAAACUAGAGCCCUGUGCAGCGCCCCCUCGGGGAAACUCGAGGUUUGGUUUUAGUUGUACGGAGCGCUCAUCUGAGGUGCCUUGAGAACGAGAUAUGUGCAGCUCCUAUCGGGAUUUGUUGGCACAUUCGGGCGGUGUUGCUGGACUUGUUUUACCAUUGUCGAGGAUGUCUUAUAACCGGGAUGCCGAGUCUGAUCGGAUUGUCUUGGGAGAAGGAAUAUCCUUCGUUGACCGUGAGAGCUUGUGAUGGGCUAUGUUGGGACACCCCUGCAAGGAUUUGAACUUUCGAAAGCCGUGCCCGCGGUUAUGGGCAGAUGGGAAUUUGUUAAUGUCCGGUUGUAGAAAACCUGAAACUUAACUUAAUUAAAAUGCAUCAACCGCGUGUGUAACCGUGAUGGUCUCUUCUCGGCGGGGUCCGGGAAGUGAACACGGUGUUGGAGUUAUGCUUGACGUAGGUUCUUCUAGGAUCACUUCUUGAUCAUAGUUUCUUGACCGUGCUUUUGCCUUCUCUUCUCGCUCUCAUUUGCGUAUGAUAGCCACCAUAUAUGCUAGUCGCUUGCUGCAACUCCACCUUAUACCUUUUCCCUGCCUAUAAGCUUAAAUAGUCUUGAUCGCGAGGGUGUGAGAUUGCUGAGUCCCCGUGACUCACAGAUACUUCCAAAACCAUUUUGCAGGUGCCGAUGAAACCGUGCAGGUGACGCAACCGAGCUCAAGGAGGAGCUAGUUGAAGAUCAUGUUUGUUAUGUUGUGCCGUUUCUAGUUGAUCAGUAGUGGAGCCCCAUCGGGACGAUCGGGGAUCUGUGUAGCACUUGGGGUAGUCUUCUUUUAUUUUGGGUUCCGUAGUCGGACAUUGUUUGUAUCUGGAUGAUGUAAUGCUUUAUUCAUG